UGUAUCAGAAGCAUUUAAUGUUCCAUAAUGGUAGCUAGCUAUAGCCAGCUUUUUUUUAAGAAAAGGGUUAUUAGCUUUGCUGCACCUUGUGUGUGUGCUGUUGUGUUGUGCUGCUCUUGUUUUUUAGUGUGGAAGAAUCUGUAAAGCUCAGGAGGGAUAGCGCCAUGGAUGAUCUUCUCUUCACUUUUGAUCUUCUCUUGCGCUAUCCAUCCUGAGUUUCAUGGCUUCUAUCCACACACAAUGGAUCUUCAGUUUUCAGGAGAAACCCCCCAAAAGAAAAAUAAAUAAAAAUAAAAAUAAAAUUGUUGGUCUUAAUCAUCAUGCACUACUCUACACUACUCAAAGUGAAAGAGAGAGCCUAAAGAUGAAGUAAGUGGAAGAAAGGUAGAAACCAAAAUGUGUCAAAUCCUCUUGGGUUGUGUAGAGUGACUCUUUAAUUUACUUCAAAGUUUUCUCUUUUCAAAGUGUGUUUUAAAAGUUGAUGACUAGCCAAAAAAAUUUGGUAUCUGUUAAUUUCUAGCUAACACUAUCCAUAUAUGUUACAAUAUAGGUUCAAGUAAACUCAGAGAAGAUCAAAUGAAUGGUUCUCUUUACAAACCUUGAACUGUUUUCUAGCUAGCUUUUCCUUCUAGCUUGUAACCAAGAUGCUUAGAAGUUAUUAGAUCAUGAUCCAUGAUAUAUACAAUGUUUGGAUUUUUUGUUUCCUCCUUCA